rnacentral:rRNA from 1 species
UACGUAGGGGGCAAGCGUUGUCCGGAUUUAUUGGGCGUAAAGAGCGUGUAGGCGGCCAUACAGGUCCGUUGUGAAAACUGGAGGCUUAACCUCCAGACGUCGAUGGAAACCGUAUGGCUAGAGUCCGGAAGAGGAGAGUGGAAUUCCUGGUGUAGCGGUGAAAUGCGCAGAUAUCAGGAGGAACACCGGUGGCGAAGGCGGCUCUCUGGACCACAACUGACGCUGAGGCGCGAAAGCUAGGGGAGCAAACGGG